rnacentral:rRNA from 1 species
GACGAACGCUGGCGGCGUGCCUAAUACAUGCAAGUCGAACGCAUUUUCUUUCACCGUAGCUUGCUACACCGAAGAAAAUGAGUGGCGAACGGGUGAGUAACACGUGGGUAACCUGCCCAUCAGCGGGGGAUAACACUUGGAAACAGGUGCUAAUACCGCAUAAUUCCAUUUACCGCAUGGUAGAUGGAUGAAAGGCGCUUUUGCGUCACUGAUGGAUGGACCCGCGGUGCAUUAGCUAGUUGGUGGGGUAACGGCCUACCAAGGCUGCGAUGCAUAGCCGACCUGAGAGGGUGAUCGGCCACACUGGGACUGAGACACGGCCCAGACUCCUACGGGAGGCAGCAGUAGGGAAUCUUCGGCAAUGGACACAAGUCUGACCGAGCAACGCCGCGUGAGUGAAGAAGGUUUUCGGAUCGUAAAACUCUGUUGUUAGAGAAGAACAAGGAUGAGAGUGGAAAGUUCAUCCCUUGACGGUAUCUAACCAGAAAGCCACGGCUAACUACGUG